UAAAACCAUUUGCAAACACACCAAUUAUUCAUAAUAUUUCCAUAAAUUACUUUAAUGGGUGAUGGCGUGCCUCUUGUAGAAUGAACCGGCGAGUUAUGCUAACAUGCAAGGUUAAGGGGAAAAGUCCGGAGCCGUAGCGAAAGCGAGUCUGAAUAGGGCGUUACAGUAUGUUGGGAUAGACCCGAAACCAGGUGAUCUACCCAUGUUCAGGCUGAAAGUGCGGUAAAACGCACCGGAGGGCCGAACCCGUGUACGUUGAAAAGUGCUGGGAUGAAAUGUGGGUAGCGGUGAAUUCCAAACGAACUUGGAGAUAGCUGGUUCUCUCCGAAAUAGCUUUAGGGCUAGCCUCGAACUUAGAAUCAUGGAGGUAGAGCACUGUUUGGGUGAGGGGCCCGUCAUGGGUUACUAAAUUCAGAUAAACUCCGAAUACCAUUGAUUUAUAUGUCCGGGAGUCAGACGAUGAGUGAUAAGAUCCACCGUCGAAAGGGGAACAGCCCAGACCACCAAUUAAGGUCCCUAAAUAUAUGCUGAGUGGAAAAGGAUGUGGAGUUGCAUAGACAACUAGGAUGUUGGCUCAGAAGCAGCCACCAUUUAAAGAGUGCGUAAUAGCUCACUAGUCGAGUGAUUCUGCGCCGAAAAUUUACCGGGGCUAAGCAUAUUACCGAGAUUGUGGACAUGACGUAGUCAUGUGAUAGGAGAGCGUUCUAAGGGCAACGAAGGUAGACCGUAAGGACUGCUGGAGCGCUUAGAAGUGAGAAUGCCGGUAUGAGUAGCGAAAGAAUAGUGAGAAUCUAUUCCACCGAUUGACUAAGGUUUCCUGGGGAAGGCUCGUCCUCCCAGGGUAAGUCGGGACCUAAGCCGAGGCCUAGAGGCGUAGGCGAUGGAUAACAGGUUGAGAUUCCUGUACUAGUUAAUUAUGUUUGAGCGAUGGAGGGACGUAGAAGGCUAACCUGUGCGCACUGUUGGAUAUGUGCGUUCAAGUAGUAAGUCAGGUAAUGAGUGAAAUGCUUGUUACCGUGUUGACAAGCUGUGAUGAGGAUCGAAAUAAAGUAGAGAAGUGGGCCAUGUCACGCUACCGAGAAAAGCUUCUAGUGAGUAAUUAACUACCCGUACCGCAAACCGACACAGGUAGUCAAGGAGAGUAUCCUAAGGUGAGCGAGUGAACUCUCGUUAAGGAACUCGGCAAAAUGACCCCGUAACUUCGGGAGAAGGGGUGCUGCACGCAAGUGCAGCCGCAGUGAAAAGGCUCAGGCGACUGUUUUAUCAAAAACACAGGUUUCUGCAAAAUCGUAAGAUGAAGUAUAGGGGCUGACGCCUGCCCGGUGCUGGAAGGUUAAGUGGAUGAGUUAGCUUCGGCGAAGCCCAGAAACGAAGCCCCAGUAAACGGCGGCCGUAACUAUAACGGUCCUAAGGUAGCGAAAUUCCUUGUCGGGUAAGUUCCGACCCGCACGAAAGGCGUAACGAUCUGAGCACUGUCUCAACGAGAGACUCGGUGAAAUUGAGAUACCUGUGAAGAAGCAGGUUACCCGCGACAGGACGGAAAGACCCCAUGGAGCUUUACUGUAAUUUGAUAUUGGGUGUUGACAUAGCUUGUACAGGAUAGGUAGGAGCCGUGGAAACCGGGACGCUAGUUUCGGUGGAGGCAUUGUUGGGAUACUACCCUCGCUGUGCUAACACUCUAACCCGCACCACUUAUCGUGGUGGGAGACAGUGUCUGAUUGGCAGUUUGACUGGGGCGGUCGCCUCCUAAACAGUAACGGAGGCGCCCAAAGGUUCCCUCAGAAUGGUUGGAAAUCAUUCUUCGAGUGUAAAGGCAAAAGGGAGCUUGACUGCGAGACAGACAGGUCGAGCAGGGACGAAAGUCGGGCUUAGUGAUCCGGUGGUACCGUAUGGAAGGGCCAUCGCUCAACGGAUAAAAGCUACCCUGGGGAUAACAGGCUUAUCUCCCCAAGAGUUCACAUCGACGGGGAGGUUUGGCACCUCGAUGUCGGCUCAUCGCAUCCUGGGGCUGUAGUUGGUCCCAAGGGUUGGGCUGUUCGCCCAUUAAAGCGGUACGCGAGCUGGGUUCAGAACGUCGUGAGACAGUUCGGUCCCUAUCCGUCGCGGGCGUAGGAAAUUUGAGGGGAGCUGUCUCUAGUACGAGAGGACCGAGAUGGACAUACCGCUGGUGUACCAGUUGUCCCGCCAGGGGCAUCGCUGGGUAGCUAUGUAUGGAUGAGAUAAACGCUGAAAGCAUCUAAGUGUGAAACCGACCUCAAGAUGAAAUUUCCCAUUCCUUUAUGGAAGUAAGACCCCUAAGAGAUGAUUAGGUAGAUAGGCUAGAAGUGGAAGUGCAGUGAUGUAUGGAGCGGACUAGUACUAAUUGGUCGAGGACUUAACC
rnacentral:rRNA from 1 species